AGUGAACGCUGGCGGUAGGCCUAACACAUGCAAGUCGAACGGCAGCACUGUUAGUGCUUGCUCUUACGGGUGGCGAGUGGCGGACGGGUGAGGAAUGCAUUGGAACCUACUUUUUCGGGGGGGACAACGAAGGGAGACUUACGCUAAUAUCGCAUACCACCUACGAGUGAAAGCAGGGGAUCUUUUGACCUUGCGCGAUUGAAUGAGCCGAUGUCGGAUUAGCUAGGUGGGGGGGUGAAGACCCACCAAGGCUACGAUCCGUAGCUGGUCUGAGAGGUGGUUCGCCCACACUGGAGCUGAGACAGGCUCCAGACUCCUACGGUACGCAGCAGUCGGGAAUAUUGGGCAGUGGGCGCGAGCCUGAUCCAGCCAGACCGCGUGUGUUUAGGAGGCCUUGCGGUUGUUAAGCCCUCUUGCUGGGAAAGAAAAGCAGCCGCUUAAGACCCCGCUGUUCUGACGGUACCCAAAGAAUAAGCACCGGCUAACUUCGUG
rnacentral:rRNA from 1 species